UACAGAGGGUGCGAGCGUUGUCCGGAAUCACUGGGCGUAAAGGGCGCGUAGGUGGCGAUCCAAGUCCAUGGUGAAAGCUCGAUGCUCAACAUCGAGUCGGCCACGGAUACUGGGGUUGCUUGAGCACUGUAGGGGCAGAUGGAAUUCCGGGUGUAGCGGUGGAAUGCGUAGAGAUCCGGAAGAACACCGGUGGCGAAGGCGGGUCUCUGGGCAGUAACUGACGCUGAGGAGCGAAAAGCGUGGGGAGCGAACAGG
rnacentral:rRNA from 1 species